GACGAACGCUGGCGGCGUGCUUAACACAUGCAAGUCGAACGGAAAGGCCCUGCUUUUGUGGGGUGCUCGAGUGGCGAACGGGUGAGUACACGUGAGUAACCUGCCCUUGACUUUGGGAUAACUUCAGGAAACUGGGGCUAAUACCGGAUAGGAGCUCCUGCUGCAUGGUGGGGGUUGGAAAGUUUCGGCGGUUGGGGAUGGACUCGCGGCUUAUCAGCUUGUUGGUGGGGUAGUGGCUUACCAAGGCUUUGACGGGUAGCCGGCCUGAGAGGGUGACCGGCCACAUUGGGACUGAGAUACGGCCCAGACUCCUACGGGAGGCAGCAGUGGGGAAUAUUGCACAAUGGGCGGAAGCCUGAUGCAGCAACGCCGCGUGCGGGAUGACGGCCUUCGGGUUGUAAACCGCUUUCGCCUGUGACGAAGCGUGAGUGACGGUAAUGGGUAAAGAAGCACCGGCUAACUACGUGCCAGCAGCCGCGGUGAUACGUAGGGUGCGAGCGUUGUCCGGAUUUAUUGGGCGUAAAGGGCUCGUAGGUGGUUGAUCGCGUCGGAAGUGUAAUCUUGGGGCUUAACCCUGAGCGUGCUUUCGAUACGGGUUGACUUGAGGAAGGUAGGGGAGAAUGGAAUUCCUGGUGGAGCGGUGGAAUGCGCAGAUAUCAGGAGGAACACCAGUGGCGAAGGCGGUUCUCUGGGCCUUUCCUGACGCUGAGGAGCGAAAGCGUGGGGAGCGAACAGGCUUAGAUACCCUGGUAGUCCACGCUGUAAACGGUGGGUACUAGGUGUGGGGUCCAUUCCACGGGUUCCGUGCCGUAGCUAACGCUUUAAGUACCCCGCCUGGGGAGUACGGCCGCAAGGCUAAAACUCAAAGGAAUUGACGGGGCCCCGCACAAGCGGCGGAGCAUGCGGAUUAAUUCGAUGCAACGCGUAGAACCUUACCUGGGUUUGACAUGGAUCGGGAGUGCUCAGAGAUGGGUGUGCCUCUUUUGGGGUCGGUUCACAGGUGGUGCAUGGCUGUCGUCAGCCCGUGUCGUGAGAUGUUGGGUUAAGUCCCGCAACGAGCGCAACCCUUGUUCACUGUUGCCAGCACGUUAUGGUGGGGACUCAGUGGAGACCGCCGGGGUCAACUCGGAGGAAGGUGGGGAUGACGUCAAGUCAUCAUGCCCCUUAUGUCCAGGGCUUCACGCAUGCUACAAUGGCUGGUACAGAGAGUGGCGAGCCUGUGAGGGUGAGCGAAUCUCGGAAAGCCGGUCUCAGUUCGGAUUGGGGUCUGCAACUCGACCUCAUGAAGUCGGAGUCGCUAGUAAUCGCAGAUCAGCAACGCUGCGGUGAAUACGUUCCCGGGGCU
rnacentral:rRNA from 1 species